GACGAACGCUGGCGGCGUGCUUAACACAUGCAAGUCGAACGGAAAGGCCCUGCUUUUGUGGGGUGCUCGAGUGGCGAACGGGUGAGUAACACGUGAGUAACCUGCCCUUGACUUUGGGAUAACUUAAGGAAACUGGGGCUAAUCCCGGAUAGGAGCUCCUGCUGCAUGGUGGGGGUUGGAACGUUUCGGCGGUUGGGGAUGGACUGGCGGCUUAUCAGCUUGUUGGUGGGGUAGUGGCUUACCAAGGCUUUGACGGGUAGCCGGCCUGAGAGGGUGAACGGCCACAUGGGUACUGAGAGAGGGACCAGACGCCUACGUGGGGCAGCAGGGGGGAACAUGACACAAUGGGCGGAAGUCGGUGGCAGCGGCGCUGGGGGCGGGAUGACGGCCUGCGGGUAGUAAACCGCUUUCGCUUGUGACGAAGCGGUAGUGACGGUAAUGGGUAAAGAAGCACCGGCUAACUACGUG
rnacentral:rRNA from 1 species